rfam:Triticum aestivum genome assembly, contig: Triticum_aestivum_CS42_TGACv1_scaffold_501260_6BL
UAUGUACUCCCUCCGUCCGGCAUUACUUGUCACAGAAAUGGAUCAAAAUGGAUGUAUUUAAAACUAAAAUAUGUCUAGAUACAGCCAUUUAUCCGACAAGUAUUUCCGGACGGAGGGAGUAUAUU